rnacentral:rRNA from 1 species
UACGGGGGAUGCAAGCGUUAUCCGGAAUCAUUGGGCGUAAAGCGCCUGUAGGUUGUUUAAUAAGUCUGUUGUUAAAGACUAGGGCUUAACCCUAGAAAAGCAAUGGAAACUACUAGACUAGAGUAUGGCAGGGGUAGAGGGAAUUCCUAGUGUAGCGGUGAAAUGCGUAGAUAUUAGAAAGAACACCAGUGGCGAAAGCGCUCUACUGGACCAUUACUGACACUCAGAGGCGAAAGCUAGGGUAGCAAAAGGGAUUAGAUACCCCUGUAGUCCUAGCCGUANACGAUGGAUACUACAUGUUGUAUUUAUUUUACAGUAUGGUAGCUAACGCGUUAAGUAUCCCGCCUGGGGAGUACGCUCGCAAGGGUGAAACUCAAAGGAAUGACGGGGGCCCGCACAAGCGGUGGAGCAUGUGGUNUAAUUCGAUGCAACGCGAAGAACCUUACCAGGGCUUGACAUACUGCGAAUCUUUUUGAAAGAAGAGAGUGCCUUCAGGAAUGCAGAUACAGGUGGUGCAUGGCUGUCGUCAGCUCGUGUCGUGAGAUGUUGGGUUAAGUCCCGCAACGAGCGCAACCCUUGUUUUUAGUUACCAACUUGUUGGGUUUUCUAGAAAGACUGCCGGUGACAAACCGGAGGAAGGUGAGGAUGACGUCAAGUCAGCAUGCCCCUUAUGUCCUGGGCUACACACGUGCUACAAUGACUAGGACAAAGAGUUGCGAGUUCGCGAGAACCAGCUAAUCUCAUAAACCUAGCCCUAAGUUCAGAUUGUAGGCUGCAACUCGCCUACAUGAAGUUGGAAUCGCUUAGUAAUCGCUGGUUCAAGCCAAUACAGCGGUGUAAUUCCGUUCCCGGGCCU